rnacentral:rRNA from 1 species
GACGGAGGAUGCAAGCGUUAUCCGGAAUUAUUGGGCGUAAAGCGUCCGCAGGUGGCUGUUCAAGUCUGCUGUCAAAGCGCAGAGCUUAACUCUGUACAGGCGGUGGAAACUGAAGAGCUAGAGUAUGGUAGGGGUAGAGGGAAUUCCCAGUGGAGCGGUGAAAUGCGUAGAGAUUGGAAAGAACACCGAUGGCGAAGGCACUUUACUGGGCUAUUACUAACACUCAGAGACGAAAGCUAGGGUAGCAAAUGGG